GACGAACGCUGGCGGCGUGCCUAAUACAUGCAAGUUGAGCGCUGAAGGUUGGUACUUGUACCAACUGGAUGAGCAGCGAACGGGUGAGUAACGCGUGGGGAAUCUGCCUUUGAGCGGGGGACAACAUUUGGAAACGAAUGCUAAUACCGCAUAAAAACUUUAAACACACGUUUUAAGUUUGAAAGAUGCAAUUGCAUCACUCAAAGAUGAUCCCGCGUUGUAUUAGCUAGUUGGUGAGGUAAAGGCUCACCAAGGCGAGGAUACAUAGCCGGCCUGAGAGGGUGAGCGGCCACACUGAGACUGAGACACGGCCCAAACUCCUACGGGAGGGAGCAGUAGGGAAUCUUCGGCAAUGGACGAAAGUCUGACCGAGCAACGCAGCGUGAGUGAAGAAGGUUUUCGGAUCGUAAAACUCUGUUGGUAGAGAAGAACGUUGGUGAGAGUGGAAAGCUCAUCAAGUGACGGUAACUACACAGAAAGGGACGGCUAACUACGUG
rnacentral:rRNA from 1 species